CAAAACUCUCUCUCUCUCUCUCUCUCUCUCUCUCUUGAACCCAUCACGAUGUGGGCUUCCAUGGCGAUUUGGUUCACACCCACUGUUUUCUUCGGCAUCGUCAACCUCAUCAUCGGCACUAUCUUCAUACUUCAAACCUCAUAACCCACAAAAAUCACCAUCAAAAUACAGCAGGUGAGCACGACCCGACCCGACAGGUCGGGUCCUGCCUUUUUUAGACCGGGUCAAGCACUUCAAUUUCUCUCAAAACUCACGAUAAUCACCUACAACUACAAGAGGGUGAUCACAACCCGACCCGAAUUCUUCGAUCCACAUCUUUAUUGGAUCGGGUCAAGUCCUUCGAUUUCUCUCUCAAAACUCACGAUAAUCACCAACUACAAAUACAAGAGGGUGAACACAAUCCGACCCGAGUCGUUCGAAGUCCAUCCUUUUUGGAUCAAGUCAAGUCCUUAGAUUUCUCUCCUAAAACCCACCCUAAAAAACUACCGCACGAGGGUGAACAAGAUCUGACCCAAUGGUUCGGACCCAAACUCUCUUGGACCGGAUCAAAUCCUUAGAUUUCUCUCCCAGAACACCCAAAAAUGAUCACCUCCAACAAGCAGAUGGUGAAAACAGUCCGACCCGACUUGAUGAUGCAGAUAGCAAGGUUGAAGAUUACUUGGAGACCCGGGGCCGUCGUUAUGCCCGUGUGGCCAAUAAACUUUCUCAAUUAUUUGACCGCGUCUGUGUCGAGGAAGGGUUGAACGGUUAUGUAAUUCACAUGAGUUUGUGACAUGUAGUAUUUAAUGUAAUUCGGGGAUUGGACAAAUCAAUCACAAGCAUAUGAAAUAGAUUCAAGGAUAUUCAUACAAGCCUAUGCUAAGGGUGUCUUGUAUGUUGUAUUAUCAAAGGUGAAAAAAGAUCCUAAAGGAUCGUCAAGACAAAAGAAGUGUACUGGAAGAUACUGAGAAUCCAAAAGUGUUGGGCAAACCUCGUUGGACUGUCGUUGGAUCCUCGCGGGAGGGAUGUAGUUCGAAAGACUGUCACGGGAUCAAUUAAAGGACUCAUCAGAGAAGCCGAGAGUUUGCAUUUGGUCACAAGCUAUUCGCGGGAUCCUCGCUGGACCGUCACGGAAGCGAUGUAUCUCGUUGAACUGUCGCGGGAGUUGGAUGAGACUUCAUAGAGAGAAGUCGAGAGCUUGUAUGUUGCCAACGAGAAUUCACGGGAUCAUCGCUGGAUAGUCACGGGAGCGACAGAUGUCGCGGGAUCCUUGCGGGAGAGACCUGCGCAAAACUGCAGUGCCGUGAUCUGCGAUUUUUAGGUUUUCCAACCACUAUAAAAAAGGGUAAGACACUUCGAAAUAAGGCGUCUGAGCUGCCGUCAUUUAUAUACCCUAGAGAGUAGAAGUCUUCUCUAUCGACCAAAGAGUUCAGAAAAGAUUCUUUGCACAAAACUUCACCAACCAAAUUGAAAAAAAUCAAAAUCUUUGAAGGAGUUCAAGGUGUGAAAUCUGUUUUAAAGGGAUCUGAAUGGUAAUCAAGCACGGAGACGGUGAAUCGUGGACAUGAACUAGAUCUUCUCAAUCAUUAGAUCAAGGAGUUGAUAGAUUUUGAUUGCAAGAGUCUUAUAACCGUCUGGAACUUUUGUGAUAGUGCAUGAUUUUUGUCCGAAGAAGUGGACAUGUGAUUUUUCUCCCAUUCAAGGGUUUUCAUAGUAAAAAUUUCGUGUGCAACUUCAUUGAUUGGUUUGCUUAUUUUUAUAUUUGAAUUCUACAAUAUUGCUCAAAGCUGUGUUAAUAUAUUUAAUAUUGUAGUCAUUUAAUCUCUUGAUAAAAACAUAGACUAAGACUAUUUUUUUUCAAUUGGGACAUUCAAAUUUUUUUUAAAUUGUGAAAGAGUGAGAUCCUAAUACUAAUAGUGUAAAUCUGUGGAUUUACCUAGGGAAGGAAGUUCUACAACUCGACCUCCUCUACUUGAUGGUACAAAUUAUCCUUAUUGAAAAGCUAAAAUAAGAAUGGUGAAUCGUGGACAUGAACUAGAUCUUCUCAAUCAUUAGAUCAAGGAGUUGAUAUAUUUUGAUUAUAAGAGUCUUGUAAUCAUCUGAAACUUUUGUGAUAGUGCAUGAUCUUUGGUCAGAGAAGUGAACACGUGGUUUUUCUCUCAUUCAAGGGUUUUCACUGUAAAAAUUUCGUGUGCAAUUUCAUUGAAUGGGUUUCUUAUUUUUAUAUUUGGAUUCUACAAUAUUGCUCAAAACUGUGUUAAUAUAUUUAAUAUUGUAGUCAUUUAAUCUCUUGAUAAAAAUAUAGAUCAAGACUAUUUUUUUUAAGGGUAAAGCCGGGAGGGAGGGAGAGAGAGAGUAGUCUGGGGUCACCAGAGAGGACCCUCGCCGGAGAGUUAAUGCCUGAGAUGGGUUCUUCUUUGUUAACAAUGAUAAUAGAGGUAAAGAAAAAGAUUGAUAAUGUAUAUGAAGAUAGGGGAGGGAGAGAUUAUUGUAAUUUCAGCUCUUGAUUUCAAGGGUUAGA
rnacentral:lncRNA from 1 species